rnacentral:lncRNA from 1 species
CAGAUCAACUGAUCAGGGCCCUCGUCGAGAAACGGCCGGGUGCCGAUGGUAAAAUAACGCUCGGUUUGGACUUCAUUGAUCUGGAAAGCAUUUAAGUUUUUAUUAAGGCGAUGCCACCUGAUGCUCCUUCAUGUUCCACUGCCGUUUCCUGUGGCAACCACGUUUACGUUAUUGGGGGAAUACGCAAAAAUGAUGCUACUCCUUUUGAUGUAAACGAUGUUUUCCAAUUAGAUUUGAAGGACCUUGAACGUGGGUGGAGAAAAACUACUUCUAUGUUGUUCCCUCGGUCUUUGCCCCUGGUUGCUGCUGCUGAAGGAAAGAUUUUCGUCUUCGAAAAUAUGGGUUCUGAAUCUUUUGGCGAGGUUUACAAUAUAAGUGGGGAUAUUUGGG